ACAUCGGUAGCACAGUGGUUAGUGCAGUCUGCCGGAAACAGAAAGACAUGGGUUCGAUAUCCGUCCGAUGUC
rnacentral:tRNA from 1 species